rnacentral:rRNA from 1 species
AAAACGACUCUCGGCAACGGAUAUCUCGGCUCUCGCAUCGAUGAAGAACGUAGCGAAAUGCGAUACUUGGUGUGAAUUGCAGAAUCCCGUGAACCAUCGAGUCUUUGAACGCAAGUUGCGCCCGAAGCCUUUUGGCCGAGGGCACGUCUGCCUGGGCGUCACACACC